rnacentral:rRNA from 1 species
CAGGUCGCCGCGGUAAUACGUAGGUGGCAAGCGUUGUCCGGAAUUAUUGGGCGUAAAGGGCUCGCAGGCGGUUUCUUAAGUCUGAUGUGAAAGCCCCCGGCUCAACCGGGGAGGGUCAUUGGAAACUGGGAAACUUGAGUGCAGAAGAGGAGAGUGGAAUUCCACGUGUAGCGGUGAAAUGCGUAGGGAUGUGGAGGAACACCAGUGGCGAAGGCGACUCUCUGGUCUGUAACUGACGCUGAGGAGCGAAAGCGUGGGGAGCGAACAGGAUUAGAGACCCCAGUAGUCCCUGUCUCUUAUC